AUGAAUCUUAAUUUUGUUUUCUUUUUCUUCUUUUUUAGCAACUCCUAAUUAGGGGCUUUUGUCGUUCGAGAAAGAAAAGAAGACAAAAUUAGAAAGCCCCCUCUAGGGGGCUUUUUUUAU
rnacentral:ncRNA from 1 species